GCCCAGAUGGCGGAAUUGGUAGACGCAAAGGACUCAAAAUCCUUCGAUGGCAACAUCAUGAGAGUUCGAUUCUCUCUCUGGGCACCA
rnacentral:tRNA from 1 species